GCACCCGUAGCUCAGCUGGAUAGAGCGUUGCCCUCCGAAGGCAGAGGUCACAGGUUCGAAUCCUGUCGGGUGCACCA
rnacentral:tRNA from 1 species